rnacentral:misc_RNA from 1 species
GAUGAAGAACGUAGUGAAAUGCGAUACUUGGUGUGAAUUGCAGAAUCCCGUGAACCAUCGAGUCUUUGAACGCAAGUUGCGCCCGAAGCCACUAGGCCGAGGGCACGCCUGCCUGGGCGUCACACGCCGUUGCCCCCCCAUCUACUCCUUCGGGAUUGCGGGGGGGCGGAUGAUGGCCUCCCGUGCGCCUAGCCGCGCGGUUGGCAUACAUACCAAGUCCUCGGCGACGCACGCCACGACAAUCGGUGGUUGCGAAACCUCGGUUGCCCGUCGUGUGCGUUCGUCGCGCAUCGAGGGCUCGAAAAAAUGCUCGGCUCCGGCUGGGCUUUCAACGCGACCCCAGGUCAGGCGGGGUUACCCGCUGAAUUUAAGCAUAUCAAUAAGCGGAGGA